rnacentral:lncRNA from 1 species
AUGUCGAUCUCAGCUACAAAAAUAUCAUAAUAUGACUCUGUAAUUAUUAGUUCACGAUCCACAAUGGCUGUGUAUAGGGUUUGGGAAAGAUUCAUUGACCGUGAACAUCUCAGUGGAUGUAAAGCGCCGCUUAACAUAAUACAUCCACAAGUAAGUUCUACUAGCUAACAAACUUUCGCUAACUUUUAGCCUUCUUAUUGUCGUGGUUAUGAAUAUUUUUAUAUAUAUAUAUACAUCGUACAGUGGUGUUUAAGACAAGAAGGAGGGAACAAUCUAUGUGCAUAUUACGUGUGCAAAUUCAUGAUGGCACAAGUCAAUCAAACACCCACAGAGACGCUC